CAUGUUCUCUGUUGCUCUGCUGCUGCUGUUUACAGCUGGAUCCUGGGUCCAGUGUCAGCAGCUCACCCAGCCUCCCUCUGAGAACCUACAGCCGGGUCAGCGUCUGACCAUCACCUGUCAGGUCUCCUAUUCUGUUAGUAGCUAUUGGACAGCCUGGAUCAGACAGCCUGCUGCAGGAACACUGGAGUGGAUCGGGCAGAAAUAUACGUCAAGCACCUACUAUAAAGAGUCACUGAAAAGCAAAUUCAGAAUCGAUGAUGAUUCCUCCAACAACAGAGUGACUCUGACCGGAGAGAACAUGCAGCCUGGAGACUCAGGCGUCUAUUACUGUGCCAGAGACCCACAACAACACAAAACACCAGCAGACCUGAACAAAAACCCACAAACCACCAGAGGGGGAGUCACAGACCAGCAGCCACUGUCAAACAUCUCCACUCUCAUUCACCAACAACUUGUUCACAACAAUAAUAAUCACAUGGGGUCCAGUGUGAGCAGCUCACCCAGCCUCCCUCUGAGAACCUACAGCCGGGUCAGCAUCUGA